UGGCUGAAUUCCUUUCUCUCCUCUUAUUUGGGCUGUGUGCUGGCAAACACCUAAGAAGAGAUGGGUCACUUCCCAGGCCCUCCAUCCAUUCCUGGCCCAGCUGGGUGGUUCCUGCCAAUAGUCAUGUGACACUGCAAUGCUCCAUUCCUAUCCGUGAGGUC